CCAACCCACUUUGUGGAGUCUGGGUGAUUCAUAGUAACCGAACGGAUCGCAGUUGGCUUCGGCCCGCGAUAUAUCUUUCAAGUUUCUGACCUAUCAGCUUUCGACGGUAGGGUAUUGGCCUACCGUGGCAGUGACGGGUAACGGGGAAUUAGGGUUCGAUUCCGGAGAGGGAGCCUGAGAAACGGCUACCACAUCUAAGGAAGGCAGCAGGCGCGCAAAUUACCCAAUGAAAACAGCUUCGAGGUAGUGACGAGAAAUAACAAUACAGGGCAUUUUUUGUUCUGUAAUUGGAAUGAUGGGAAUGUAAAACCCUUUCAGAUUAACAAUUGGAGGGCAAGUCUGGUGCCAGCAGCCGCGGUAAUUCCAGCUCCAAUAGUGUAUAUUAGAGUUGUUGCAGUUAAAAAGCUCGUAGUUGGAUUUCUGUCGUGGUCAUCCGGUUCCGCCCGUACGGGUGUGCGCCUGGUUUGCCCUCGGCUUUCUUCCGUUAGCCUUCGGCGCUUCAUUGCGUCUGUUGGUGUUUCGGAACUUUUACUUUGAGAAAAAUAGAGUGUUUCAAGCAGGCUUGUCGCCCUGAAUACUUCAGCAUGGAAUAAUAAGAUAGGACCUUGGUUCUAUUUUGUUGGUUUCUAGGACUAAGGUAAUGAUUAAUAGGGACAGUUGGGGGCAUUCGUAUUUAACUGUCAGAGGUGAAAUUCUUAGAUUUGUUAAAGACGAACUACUGCGAAAGCAUUUGCCAAGGAUGUUUUCAUUAAUCAAGAACGACAGUAGGGGGUUUGAAGACGAUUAGAUACCGUCGUAAUCUCUACCAUAAACUAUGCCGACUAGAGAUAGGGAAAUGCCUACCUUGGCUUCUCCUG
rnacentral:rRNA from 1 species